CAUUGAACCGAAGUGGUUACGGCUGUUGGUUUAAGCUGUGCGGUAGCGUUGCCAGCCCCUUAA
rnacentral:sRNA from 1 species